GCCGAUAAGCUCCUAACCAUGCUGGCGAUGAUCUCGUCCCCACGGCGGCGCCCAUCAAGCGGAGGAUGCCGGCGGAGCGAUGGCGACGACAGGCUGCGGGCGGAGCAGAGGGGCGGGCGGAGCGGCGGCGGUGGAGGUGGCCAGAGGAGGAGGAGGUCGCCGGCGAGCACGGUAGCUGUGGCAGGUGCGACAGCGGUUGACGACGACGGUCUACUCCACUCCGUCGGCAUGCUCCGUCCACCGCCGCUUGGCCUGCCCCGCUCUUCCCUGCCGCGGUGGGGUUCCAGACUGUGGCGAGGAGCGCGGAAGCGUGGUCGGGGAGGCCCAUGGAGGAGAGGGAAAAGCUGCCGCCGCCCGCGGUUCCUCUCCUCCCACCAGCUGCCGGCGACCGCGCGCCGCUUCUGUCCCUUCUGAUGCUUCCCGCGGUUCCUGUUCCACCGGCCGCCGCUCGUGUCUCCUCUCCCACCCGUCUCCGCCGCUCCUCUCCCGUCCCGGUGAGGUCAACGGGUGCGGCGACAUCCUUCUUAUCUGCCCGCCCUGCUCUGCCCUUCUACUUCCUCUCUCGCCGCCGCCGAAGACGACGACGGCGACGGGUUCGACAACGACCGCCCGCUGCCCUCUCCCGGCGGCAACCCGCCACUGCCCAGCUCCGCCCCUCUGCUCUGGCCACCGUCGCUCCGCCCGCCCCGCUCAGCCCCUCUGCUCCGCUCCGCCCGUGGCCUGCUGCUCCGUCCCUCUGCUCUGCUCCGCGCUUACUCAGCACCGGUGAGUUCAUACUGCAUAGACACUUACAUGUGGGUCCCACCGUGCUGAGUCACGUCGCCAACCGAGUCAACGACGCCACGUCGGACGAAACCACCAGCCAAACCACCGAGGGGAUUUGCCAAACCACCGAGGGAGGGGAUUUGGUCUGGUUUUCAAAGCUGAAGGAGCCGAUAUACCAGGGACGUGAUUUAACUAGGGACGAGAGUUGAGGGAGGUAAAGUGGACUUAUCCCUUUCAGUCCAACGCAGAACAAACAUUUCGGCCCAACGACAAGAGCUCAAGAAGCAUUUCGGCGAACGGAAAAUCAUAUUCCAAAUUUAAUUGGCACAUCCGCACAUGAAAGCAUCUCACAACGAGGUGGUGCAUUUCCCUCGUCAGCCACAGCAUCUGACAGAUAAGCAGAUCACUUACCUGCAUCACUGCAUGUACAUUGACAAUCUGGGCAAACUGAAUAAAAUAUAAUUGACCAGGUACAAAACUAUGUGGUUAAAGGAGUGGACGUGAAGAACCAAAAUUCAGUAGUGAUGGCCAGUCAAGUAGAUGUAGCAGCCUUUUCUGGCCGGUGCCUGCAUGCAUAUGCAAUUGACAUUGCUGCCUGAGAUAGACUGAAGGUUUCAGAGGGCUAAUGGAUUUUGAGGCAUAACAAAUUGGACUCUGCUUUUUAUGGUAGCCUUCUUCUAGAUCAUGGAAGCUGGUUGCUUUGAAAAUUGUCGGAUGGCGGUGAUCCAACAGAGAUGCAGAGUAACAGAAAUCUACUCUGCCGUAGACUGUAUAAUCUCCCGUGUUUGUUGAACUAACUACCAUAUCUCAAAUCUGAAUGUAUAAUCUGCCAGUGUCAACUGCGUGCUUCCAUUUCAACCCGAGGUGUAACAUGUGCACACAAAAGCUCUUCUCUGAAUUCCGCAAAUAAACUCUGCUUAAUUUGCAGAUGA